UGCCAGCCGCCGCGGUAAUACGGAGGGGGUUAGCGUUGUUCGGAAUUACUGGGCGUAAAGCGCACGUAGGCGGACUAGUAAGUAAGAGGUGAAAUCCCAGGGCUCAACCCUGGAACUGCCUUUUAAACUGCUAAUCUAGAGAUCGAGAGAGGUGAGUGGAAUUCCGAGUGUAGAGGUGAAAUUCGUAGAUAUUCGGAGGAACACCAGUGGCGAAGGCGGCUCACUGGCUCGAUACUGACGCUGAGGUGCGAAAGCGUGGGGAGCAAACAGGAUUAGAUA
rnacentral:rRNA from 1 species